rnacentral:rRNA from 1 species
UGAGGAAUAUUGGACAAUGGGCGCAAGCCUGAUCCAGCCAUGCCGCGUGCAGGAAGAAGCAUCUAUGGUGUGUAAACUGCUUUUGUUCGGGAAGAAACACUCCUUCGUGAAGGAGCUUGACGGUACCGUAAGAAUAAGGCUCGGCUAACUCCGUGCCAGCAGCCGCGGUAAUACGGAGGAUCCAAGCGUUAUCCGGAAUCAUUGGGUUUAAAGGGUCCGUAGGCGGUUUAGUAAGUCAGUGGUGAAAGACCAUCGCUCAACGAUGGAACGGCCAUUGAUACUGCUAGACUUGAAUUAUUAGGAAGUGACUGGGAUAUGUAGUGUAGCGGUGAAAUGAUUAGAUAUUACAUGGAGUACCAAUCGCGCAGGCAGGGUACUACUAAUCGAUUGACGCUGAUGGACGAAAGAGUGGGGAGCGAACA